UACGAAGGGGGCUAGCGUUGCUCGGAAUCACUGGGCUUAAAGGGCGCGUAGGCGGUACGCCAAGUCUGGGGUGAAAUCUUUCGGCUCAACCGGAAAAUGGCCUGGGAUACUGGCGUGCUCGAGGGAGGUAGGGGCAGCGGGAACUGCCAGUGGAGCGGUGAAAUGCGUUGAUAUUGGCAGGAACGCCGGUGGCGAAAGCGCGUUGCUGGACCUCUUCUGACGCUGAUGCGCGAAAGCUAGGGGAGCAAACGGG
rnacentral:rRNA from 1 species